AGGCGUGUAGCUCAGUGGUAGAGCGCUGUGUCAUACUUCACAGAGGUCACCUGGUUCGAUUCCGGUUGCGCCAACCA
rnacentral:tRNA from 12 species